GCUUAGCUCACCGGCAGAGCAACGGCUUCCUAAACCGUCGAUCUGGGUUCGAGUCCCGGCAGGAGUACCA
rnacentral:tRNA from 1 species